UUUUCGUAGGUGAACCUGCGGAAGGAUCCUUACAAUUUUGGCACACCAAGCUGUCCUCGGGCGUUGCGGUGUUGUCAAUCGAGAUACCAACCCAUGUCUUUUGAGCACCUCACGUUUCCUCGGCAGGCUCGCCUGCCAAUGGAGACCACUUUAAAACCUCUUAUGUAUGCAGUAAACGUCCACAAAUAAAUGAAAUCAAAACUUUCAACAACGGAUCUCUUGGUUCUGGCAUCGAUGAAGAACGCAGC
rnacentral:misc_RNA from 1 species